CCAGACUUUCAUUCCAAAAUGAAGAUGCUUAUUUUAUUCACCUGCCUUCUUGGCUUAAGCCUUCAAGCACCUGCACCUCAGCAACAAGGGGCUGGCCCUGCCAGUAUAGAAAUAUUUCUCCCAUAUGGAAUCCAUGGUCAAGCAUUUGCUAGCCCACAGCAUCCUGGAAUACAACUCAAUCCAUCAUCCCCCCAGCAAAAUGGACUUCCAGGACACGCCAGCAUAGAAUUUCUGGUGCCUUAUGGAUUCCCCACCCAGCAAUCUGGCGUCCCGACACAGCUGGGACAAAUGUUUCCUCAAGGAUAUGUAAAACAAAAGAAGCUGCAGGCACCUGGCAAAGCAAGCAAUGAGGCUCACAACAGCCCAGAUCCUGCUGCGCAAGAUACAGCCCAACAGCCAGCCGAGAACGGGCCUGCUAGCAUUGAAAUACUCAUGCCUUACGGCUUUCAAGGACAACAGUUCCCCAUGCCACAGAUGCCAAUUUCAAACCACCCAGCAGGAGCCCACCCUUCACCUCAGCUCCCAGGCCAUGUGAGCAUUGAGAUGCUCUACCCAUAUUCAUACCCAGGCCAAACAGCUGGAUAUCCUCAGCAGUAUGGACCACAGAGUGAUGCCCCGGCUGCUGCACCCCUGACUCCUCAGCAUCCCGCAAUGCCCCAACACGCCAGCGUAGAGCUUUUGGUUCCAUAUGGAUUCCCAGGCCAGCAUCAGGGACAUCCCCAAUAUCCUGGAUCAAUUUUUCCAUCACAGGGAUUUCUGAAGCACAAAAUUCCUCAGCCUCCUGGUGCACGCAGUAUUGAAAUUCUGUAUCCAUUUGGAUUUGGAUCACAGAACCCGAUGUUGCAGUUUGGAAAUGCAUCACCUGUUGUGCCACAGCAGCUUGCUUCCCAAAGCCCUAAGGCAUUCCCUACUGCCAAACCAGUCCAAGAGGAGAUCAGUCAACAAAAACCAAUUGAGAUGCCAAUCGAUGGGAUACUAAAGGAGGCUGAGCAAACUGUUUCACCAAGUGCCAAAACAAUGGAAUAGACGAAAUCUUCAUUGAAAUCACAGCAACCUGCCAAUGGCCUGUUUCCAUGACACUCCACAUUUCCAGUAAAAUAUUUAUAUAAACGUGCAAAAAAAAACAAUAAAAAAGAUAUAGAACACAUCUUUUAGGUUGUACUGAGAACAAAAUAAAAAAAAAAACAUACACACUUAGGUAUUUUGGACUUUAGAAAUUCAGCAGAAGGUUGUAUAACCUAAUUCAUUGCUAAAGCCACAAGUCUCUACUCAUAUUAACUUUUCAGAAGCAGUAAGUUAUAUUUCCUUCAGUUUGCUGUCAUAAAACAAGCAAAACUACAGGUUCAGUGUCAGAAAAAAAGUACACAUGCCCAGUGAUACUUACUGAAUUGUCUGGCAGCAUUCAAUGAUUUUACAUGCAAUACAUCCUUAUUUUGAUUGAUUUAUGUUGGCAUUGUGAGCUAUUGAGUGCUAUUUGGAUAUUUUUUAGAGUGGCUUUGAAAUUUGUUUUCACUUUUCAACAUAGAUAGUCUACUUGAGAACCAACUGUUUCUCAAUUUUAUGUGGUAUACCUGUGAGUAGUUAUAAAUAGCCAUUAAUCAUUAAAUGUGGCCAACAAAUUGUUUUGCUUUCUCGGUAUGUCAUUGUGCUGGAACAAGCACACUAUGUUUACUGUUUGAGAGUUUUAUCUUUUAAAUGGAUGAUCAAUUUAAUGUAGAAAUAAAGGUUCCCUCUAAUUUAAGAACUGUAGCCGCCUUUUUAUUUAAUCUUAAGGAUUUGUUUCCCAAGCUUUGGAGCUGCUGUUUCACACAAUGUGUCAUUAAAGAUUUUUUU
ensembl:lincRNA